rnacentral:rRNA from 1 species
CCUACGGGAGGCUGCAGUGGGGAAUAUUGGACAAUGGGCGAAAGCCUGAUCCAGCCAUGCCGCGUGUGUGAAGAAGGCCUUCGGGUUGUAAAGCACUUUCAGUGGGGAAGAAAGCCUUGGGGCUAAUACCCUCGAGGAAGGACAUCACCCACAGAAGAAGCACCGGCUAACUCCGUGCCAGCAGCCGCGGUAAUACGGAGGGUGCGAGCGUUAAUCGGAAUUACUGGGCGUAAGGCGCGCGUAGGCGGUCUGAUAAGCCGGUUGUGAAAGCCCCGGGCUCAACCUGGGAACGGCAUCCGGAACUGUCAGGCUAGAGUGCAGGAGAGGAAGGUAGAAUUCCCGGUGUAGCGGUGAAAUGCGUAGAGAUCGGGAGGAAUACCAGUGGCGAAGGCGGCCUUCUGGACUGACACUGACGCUGAGGUGCGAAAGCGUGGGUAGCAAACAGGAUUAGAUACCCCGGUAGUC